rnacentral:lncRNA from 1 species
UGAAAGCGUGUGGGGCCCGUUCCUAGGGGCCCAGCUCCCUUUGCCCCAAGAGAUCCAGCUCCUCGCCUUUCCUGGGGCUUCCGCCUUUAUUUCUGGUUUCUCCUGCAGUGUAGCCUCCAUCCUUCUUGCUGCCGCUAAAGCCUUGUUUUUCUUAGAGGUGUGGGGACUGCAAGGCGCUCAAAGACCAUCUUGGGAAGCCCGUGCCUAUUUCCCAGAUAGACAAACUGCUCCAUUCGCGUCCUGUUUCUCUCCAAGGGGAACCACAGUACUAAUAUUUUGCUUCUCCCUCAUGCAGACACCCGCUAGGGACGAGGGUGUCCUAGAGGUUAUUAUUCCCUUAUUCACCAAGACAUUUUCAGUUUUAGGUAACAGAAAACCCUACUCAAUCUGGCUUAAGGAAGAAAAGGAAGUUGGUGGCUUAUAGAUUGGGUCUAACAGGAGCUGGGUCCAGGUGGUCAGAAUUCGAUCUGCAGUUUUCUCGGUGGAGACCAUUUCGCUUUUUACCGAGGCAAAAGGGGCCCCUCACAGCUCUCAACUUUAUUCUACCAGCUCUGCAACUCUAAUGAGAGUCUCUUUUCCUUGAUGACACUGCUAGAAGUUGCAGAGCUGCCACUCAAUGGCCUGAUUUGGGUCAUGUGCCCAUCCCUGAGCCAUUUUCAGUGGCCAGAGAGCUGGGAUGUGCUCACUGGCCGAGUAGGGGCAUGGGGCUAGCACUACGUUAAAAAAAAAAAGAGGAAAAAAGAGGGGGGACUGUUAUCUUAUGUCGGAGUGGCUGCUCGGCUGAGAGGUGUAAAAGGCAGCCAUUCUGCAGCUGAGGAAAGUGACUCCCUAAGAGGAGUGACUCAUCAUCAGUAAGCGGCU